rnacentral:lncRNA from 1 species
CUGGCUCUGGCGCCUUCCAGCUGUGUGACCGGGCGAGGCCCUGAGCCUCUUGAGGGUUCAGUGCCCUCCUCCGUACAAUGGGCCAACAACAGCCCCUUCCCUGGGGAUCUCGGUGAGGGUUGGUUGCUCUGCAGGGUGCCCUGGGCCUGUGCCAGCGCGCUCAGGCAUCCUGGUGACCAACCACAGCUGGCACUGGUGAACGCAGCCUCUUAGCCCAGGCAGGCUCUGGUCAGCCUCACCUGCUGGGACCGCUGAGUGGUCCAAGAGCUGGCUUGGCUGACUGGGACCUGGGCCUCAGCUUCCCCAUCUGUGCAGGGGGCCGCUGGUGAUACCGGUCCCUGCCAUGCCCUGGUGGAGAUAUGGCCCAGUGAGACUUCGUGAGGGGUCUAGGCCACUGCUGUCACGUGGUACGUCUUCUACCCUGGCCCCUAGGUGGCCCUGGCCUCAGCCUUGCUCUAAAGAGGAAUGAAGCCCAGCCCACAGCCCCUUAGCACAGAUACGCUCGGGAGACGGGACCCUCACCGUUACUCAUCUCCUUACUGUUCCCUGGACACCUUGGGGUCCCUGCGCCUCUCCACCCGUCCCUGCCAGGUCCUCCUGCUCCACCACAGGCCAUCUCCCUGGGCCUCAUCCAGACAGCUGGACACUGAGCACAGCUCUGUUGUCCUCUUCCCUGGGCUGAGUGGACUCAGAGGUGCUGGGGACUGCAUGGCCGCCGGACGAGGCGGGGGCUUUCCAACCCAACACCACCGAGCCUGCCUCUUCCUGCCCUGGAUGCUAUGUCUUCCAUAGAGCCGCUUUUCCAACACAGCAGGUAUGAAGUAUCCACCGGCCAUCUGAAAAUAAUGCAGUAACUAAGAAAAACAGUGGCGAGAGGAAGGAGUGUCGAUGCCCCAAAUGGAUCAUCUUCCAGAGCACGUCUACACCGAGAUCAAGAAUGAAAAGGUCUUUGGAGUGAAUGCCUAAGGCCUCCAAGCCCCGGGUCUCCUCUGUAUCAGGCGCUCACGCUGUGGGAGCUGCUUUCUCUCUGCUCCACUUCUACAGAGAAAGAAAAUCACAAGCAUUUCCCACACUUCCCCCAAGCCUUGACGUAUCACAGUUCACUCAUGGAGUUGUCAACAGACACAGGCACACACAGACCAGACUGUGGGCUCGGGAGGCGGGAACAAACCCCUCCUUCAGGAGACCUGGCAGCAGGCCAGGGGGCGCCCCAGGGCCCACCCAGCGCAGGGGCAGGCAGCCGCUCCCUCCUGCCCCUCGCCUGCUCCAGCUGUGGGCACUGGGGGCUGCCCCUGGCCCACCCCGCCCUUCAUCCCCUCACCUCUGCCUCACCCCAUGCU